rnacentral:rRNA from 1 species
GUAGGUGGCAAGCGUUGUCCGGAAUUAUUGGGCGUAAAGCGCGCGCAGGUGGUUCUUUAAGUCUGAUGUGAAAGCCCCCGGCUCAACCGGGGAGGGUCAUUGGAAACUGGGGAACUUGAGUGCAGGAGAGGAAAGUGGAAUUCCACGUGUAGCGGUGAAAUGCGUAGAUAUGCGGAGGAACACCAGUGGCGAAGGCGACUUUCUGGCCUGUAACUGACACUGAGGCGCGAAAGCGUGGGGAGCAAACAGGGAUUAGAUACCCUGGUAGUCCACGCCGUAAACGAUGAGUGCUAAGUGUUGGGGGGGUUUCCCGCCCCUCAGUGCUGCAGCUAACGCAUUAAGCACUCCGCCUGGGGAUACGGCCGCAAGACUG